GUACACGAGCGGCGAACGGGUGAGUAACACGUGAGCAACCUGCCCCUGACUCCGGGAUAAGCGGUGGAAACGCCGUCUAAUACCGGAUACGACCUCCCACCUCAUGGUGGAGGGUGGAAAGUUUUUCGGUCGGGGAUGGGCUCGCGGCCUAUCAGCUUGUUGGUGGGGUAACGGCCUACCAAGGCGAUUACGGGUAGCCGGCCUGAGAGGGCGACCGGCCACACUGGGACUGAGACACGGCCCAGACUCCUGCGGGAGGCAGCAGUGGGGAAUAUUGCGCAAUGGGCGAAAGCCUGACGCAGCGACGCCGCGUGGGGGAUGACGGCCUUCGGGUUGUAAACCUCUUUUACCACCAACGCAGGCUCGAAGUUUUCUUCGGGUUGACGGUAGGUGGGGAAUAAGGACCGGCUAACUACGUGCCAGCAGCCGCGGUAAUACGUAGGGUCCGAGCGUUGUCCGGAAUUAUUGGGCGUAAAGAGCUCGUAGGCGGCGUGUCGCGUCUGCUGUGAAAGACCGGGGCUUAACUCCGGUUCUGCAGUGGAUACGGGCAUGCUAGAGGUAGGUAGGGGAGACUGGAAUUCCUGGUGUAGCGGUGAAAUGCGCAGAUAUCAGGAGGAACACCGGUGGCGAAGGCGGGUCUCUGGGCCUUACCUGACGCUGAGGAGCGAAAGCAUGGGGAGCGAACAGGAUUAGAUACCCUGGUAGUCCAUGCCGUAAACGUUG
rnacentral:rRNA from 1 species